AUGGCGUUUGGUCUAUUUACACAUCGACACGUGUCUCAUAAUAAAAAUAUUAAAAAAACGAUAACUCCAAAGGGACAUACGAGAACCAUCCAUAUUCUCACUAUUUCCAGUAUUCAAUCUCUCUUCAAGAUCCAUCCUUCUUCUUCCCUUAAUACCUACCGAAAUCCGUCAGACAUAAAAUAA